rnacentral:rRNA from 1 species
CAGCAGCCACGGGAAUACGUAGGUGGCAAGCGUUGUCCGGAAUUAUUGGGCGUAAAGGGCUCGCAGGCGGUUUCUUAAGUCUGAUGUGAAAGCCCCCGGCUCAACCGGGGAGGGUCAUUGGAAACUGGGAAACUUGAGUGCAGAAGAGGAGAGUGGAAUUCCACGUGUAGCGGUGAAAUGCGUAGAGAUGUGGAGGAACACCAGUGGCGAAGGCGACUCUCUGGUCUGUAACUGACGCUGAGGAGCGAAAGCGUGGGGAGCGAACAGGAUUAGAGACCCGAGUAGUCCCUGUCUCUUAUAC